AAGCGAGUCCCAACCGCGCUUGCGACCGUGCCGUGAACCAAACGCUAGGUGCUUAUGGCGGACCAAUGAAGGUCUAAAAUGAAUCACAAACGACUAGGUGCCUUGAUACGGCCAAAAUAUGCCGUUUCGGAAAUCAGGGUGACAGGCCCACAUCCUAGCAAGCCCAGACCCAAGAUGGAGCAACAGGCAUAUGGAUUGGCAUAUGGACUUGAUAUAACCUUGAGCAUUUUGGAAAAUUUAUUAGAGGUUAAGAAAAGAAUAUGAUCGAGCAAAGAGGAACCUAAGAAUCAAAAUGAAAAGCUGAGGUAGAAAGAGGUAUUGUCAUAAAAUUGUAGCCGAUAUUGACAUGUUAAACUUACUUUACAAUCAACAGAAGAAAAGCUUGCGAAGUCUCAAGGAAAAUGAUUGAAAGCUGUUGUAUCAAGACACCAGGAUUGUUGGUUUACCUCAAACAUGGGCAAGUUGUUGAUAAUGUGCCAACCCGUGUUGCUGUUAUCGUGCAGGCUCCCAGAAAUAGCUCCAGCUGCUGUUUUGUCGGCAUAAUGAAAUAGAAAAAUGCUUUCCCGUACCUUAACACAGGUUCCAUUUCAUUCCUUCAAAUUAAUUCUGACGAGAAUGCCUUGACUCUUCAUCUCAACAUUAGAGAUAGCCACCACUUUCUCCUUUACCCAUCUUUCAUCGAUCAUGAACACGGCGAAGAACGAAGUUCUAAGCGUCCUUCAAAGUACAUUGGCUCCGGAAUAUUAACAGCCUGUAGCAAUAGUUUAAGUAAAUUGCUUUAUUACUCAGCCAAAGAAAUUAUUUCGGGCUAAGACCUUGGAGUUUCCAGUGCCUUAGUCCUCGAGUAAUAAAGCAAUUACUAUAGGAAGCCGUCCGAAAGGCGAACGUCCUCUACCCUCAUAAAAUUUGUAAUAGACAAUGCCCCAAACAAAAUCCUAACUGGACAAGUAAGAGCCCAUCCCCGUGUAAAUUAUUAGCAUAACGGCUCGACAUCGACCAAGAAUCGGAGAUUUACAAUUUCCCAUCCUAACGGUACAGUCGUCGACAUUUAGAGACUCCGGCAAGUUUGUUCGAUCAUAAGAUACAAUCCAUUUUUCGACAACAAAUACUCGCACAAAGUUAAUUCGGCGUGUGGGAGUCGCGAUAGACCGAAGGACUAGUUACUAAAUAUUUCGCGACACAACAAAGUAUCAAGCGUGAGGUUUGGAAUAUUCUGUAUACCUUUAACCGUUUCUCCUUUCUCAUUUAAUCUUUUAUUACUUAAUAUUACAUUUUCUAUACGCUGUGUGAUCUAUGUUAAGCGUUUUACAAAGUUAUCAUGUCCACGAUGCUCGGUUCGCUGCGUUCAGCGGAAACGAAUGCGAAAAAUAAUAAAAAAAAUGGAAAGAGCUCUGUUGUAAGCUCCUUGGAAUGAAUGAGUGAUCAGCAAAUACUAUAGCGUUUCGGGAGUAUGCCUGUUAAAACUUAACCAGCCGGGCGAUACAACGUGAGUUCAAUAAAUACAGUUCUGUGUGAACACUCUGAUGCGUCAGAGCAACCGUAAGAAAUAUAUACAACGAGAUAAUUACUAUUCGACUUCGAUCGUUCACGCGGAUACAAGAUUCAUUUAUUUAGACAUAUUUUGUAAGAUAGUUACUCAAACGCUUUCAUGUUCUCUCCGCUCUCGAUCAACUGUCAUUUUAAGUCAGCAACAUAGAAGCUGUAUAAAAGUUUUUAAUCACGAUCAUAAAAGGUAACGAGACCUCGAUGGCUAGCAGCGACGUACAAUCUGCGCAAAUAAAUAAAUUUCUACCCGUAGAGGUCCUUACAAACGAUAAUAUUGCACGUGAAACCCAUAAGGUACUGCACUCUCAGCGAUGAUAAUCGUUAUCCACUUGGAUACGCAGUAAAACAUUGGAUAAAUAACACGUUGAAAACCGUUGUUCGCUUCAUACAAUAUAAAAGUACAUAAACAACGUCUUACGAACACAAGGAGACAGUAACAAACUUCUUCUAUGAUCUAUUCUUCAAAAGAAGACACUCGCAAUAGGCUCACAGUCAUAACAAUGAAACAAAGUGGACAAUUACUAUGACUGCGGGCGUGUCUUCUUUUGGAAAAGACACCAUAAUAGAUGCAAAUUCAAUUGGCGGUACCAAGUCACUAAAAGACUGUGUAGUUUGUGACCAAGGUGCGGUGAAUUACACCUUAUCAAGCUACAUUCUCGUAUACACGCGAGUCCGACCGCAAAUAGCCAAUCGAAUUUGCAAUCAUUGUACAGUAAGCCUCGGGUAAUUGUCCAAUAAUGAGCCCGCAUGAAUCCCUUAUAUAAGUUUAAGUCACAUUAUACUGUCGGCUCCUGCUGAAAAAGGGUAUAAUCUAUUUACCAAUGGAUCAGGCAAUUGGCCUGGUCGAACAUAUUCUGGACAAUUAUCCGAGCAUACUCCAAUACAAUUCACCGUCCAUAUCGAAUCGUUCUAGCGACCCAGGUGUAUGCAUCGCGUUCCUAUUUACGUUCUUCUCAACUUGAGCAUGUGCAAGUUCGGAUGCCAUGGCACUUUCCUAAAAGUCGACGUGUUCGCCUCAUCAGGAGAUAGGGCCUCCUCGUUGCAAUUGUCCUCAGCAGUGGACACCUCGAGUAACGAGACUUCUCGCCAGGGUCCACUGAUACCCGUAUCGAAACUGAACAGUCUGCGAUGCCGUUGCGCCUGUUCGUUCACCGCGUCCCAGUUCCGCAUUCCCGGGUCGCUGACGACGCGACGGUGUUUCCUAUGAAGGUGCCGACGAUGAUGGUGAUGGUGGUGAUGAUGGUGAUGAUGAUGAUGACGCAGCUUCCUCCUAUCGUGCUCCAAGCUCGUGACACGGAUCAAAGAAUUCGGAUCGAAGUAGAGUCGAUUGUCCACAAAAGGAACGAAAUGCACUCUGUCCAUCGUCAACGAGCUAGGAUGGAAUGUCUUUGGGGUGUGACGGACGGACGGGGACCAUUCGGUGUCUUGACACAGGUUGAUCGUUACCUUUCUGCGGUGGUAAGAGCAAUGCGACCUCGACUGCAGCCUGUAAAAUCGAUCAGAGUCGUUAUUACUUGUUGCAAUCGGCGGUGCACUGGAUUUCAAAAUUUCUGCUGCUUUUUGUCAGGGAUUCAAGACUCUGGACUAAUUGCAGAUAGGUAUAAUAUAGUUCAUUUAUAUUCGUUAAACACUGAUUUGUACUCGUACGUUUCCCCAUUCAUGGUCAGAGCCUUUACAAACAACGCCCCUAUUACUAGAACUAUUAUUUAAGAUAAAUGCGAACCUAGAGGAACAAGAGUGCGACGUUCUGUGUCGUCAGUUGAGCGGAUGCUCUCCUCUGGGCAUCCUAUAACACUUGUUCCAUGCCUCGACAAGUAACACACAGCUGUGAAACCGGUAGAAGAUCAGCAAAGGUAGCCCAAUCCUGGAAAGGAUACCCCAAGCAAGCACUCCGAAGAAUCUCAGCUGCAGUUCCUGCGAGAUCCAGGUCUGCGUGAUGACGGUAUCGAAGGCCCACAGAACAGAAUUGCUGAACAAGAGAAAGGUGAUCACUUGGCGAGCCGGUUUGCCAAUUAGUUGGAAACGAGUGAUGCAGGAUCUCUUCGACGCCUCCGCUAUCAAGGUGCUUUGAGCGAAACACUGGAUCAGUUGUAGAAUAGAGGCAGUCAGUAACAUGAUAUGUCUUCCCUUAGUUUCGUCAGUUUCAUCGACCAGUAUGGCCAAUGAGCAAGCAGUGACCACGAUGGUGAAUACCGAGUACAAUUGGACGCCGAACAAAGCCACGUUGGAUAAUAGGCUGUCUAAAGCAGCGGGUGCUCUUGAUACGAUAGACAUCUGCCUGACCUGGACCAGGCCGCUGCUGGUCAUCAGAGUGCUCAGAGUCAGAAUACUGAUCAGAGUACCACAAGUGAGCCAGGACAGAGUGCUCGGUGGAAAGUUCUCGUCGUCUCUGACCACCAGGAAUAUCAAAAUGACCACUAUGCCGGCUACCAUGCACAGUAUACCGAGGAACAGGCCUUUGCUAGAUCCGUCGCAGCCCACUUUAGUGUUGCUUGUCAAGUCCUUGCUGCUGUGGAACUUCUGUUUGUGCGGCAAACGAUUGCGACCGACGUUCUGACCCAUAACGAAUGUGACUGCGGCGGCAAUUAAGCUGAAAUACAAAGUGAAGUCGUAGACUGAAUCGUAGACUGGAUAAAAUUAUAAUACACCGAGUAUUGCCAGUUACCUGAAUUGCACGAUAAACGGGUAAAGGAAUGGCAUGCUAGACGUCCACAGCUGGCCCAAGCUGUUCGUGUUCAGACAUUCCUGCAGAGCUAUUACCUGGGAGAUUUGCUCUUUCGAGAUCGGCUGGUAGGGAUGGAAGAUCUCUUUAUUCGAUGCUGCGUGGUCUAGAAAAGAUGACGAGCCUUUCGAAUUUUCGCGAAGAACAGAGACAGCAGAGUAUAAAUUCAACUGGCUGCUCGAGACCACUUUCACGAGGAAGCAGCUUGGGUGAACGAUCUCGGAACAGAGAAUCUCGUGUUCAAGAUCGUUCCAUCCAAUCUUGUCAUCUCUUCGGCGGACCUGAGACAUGUAACGAUUAUAAACAUUUUGACAAACCUAUCAAGUCUCUAGUGUGUCGUAUCAGAGACUCUGGGAAGCCCCGAAGAUUCAAUGGAGACGCAGAAUUUGGCAACCCUUGUUGCGCCAGAUGGACAAAGUACGUCCAUUCUUGAGCAGAGUCCCAGAUCACCAGUCGUAUCCAAACGGCGAUGUUUGUGGCUGCUAGAUGGAUGAAGCCGAACCUUGCUGCUAGGCCAAACCUCUCGACCAGAACCUGCAAGCAGACAUUUAUCGUUUGAAAAUUUUCCAGAGGGUUGGAGACAUCGCGGACACCUGACAGUUGCUGCAGAGACGUUAUCGAAGGGUCAUCGAAUCAUUGUAAGCAAUGAGAAGCGAACGGAUCACUGACCUGCGAGUUGACAAAGAGGAAAUGCAUCUGCAGAAAGGUGAACAACCCGUGUAAAACCGGAUGCACGAAGACAACAUCGCUGAGACAUUCUUCGCCCUGCAUCAUCGAGUGCAUCGCCAUCUCCAAUCCGUUGAAGACGAGGGUCGCCAGGCCAAAGACUGUCCAAGAUCCAGACAUUUUAUGUUAGCAUUUACUCUUGCUUACUGUCAAUUGAAUGGAACUGAAUUCCAGGAAACUCACCGAGCGCUCCGACCCGAAUGUAGAAGCUUGUCGGCGCCGUUCUGGAACGCGAGAUGUGCGCUCGUUUCAAGGAGCCGAACCUGGUCAAAGACGUGCCACCGAGUUCCGCAUCGUCGACGCCACCGGCACCUCUACCGAGGCUGCCGCAACUGUCCACCAACACCCAUGUAUAGAUGCUGAUGAUCACCGCUAUGCUUCCCACGUACAGAUACAUCAGGAACACGCCCUGUAAAUAACCGUACCACGGUGGAAUAUCGAUGGGAACGAGGACUGAUACGUGACAACGUCUUGGUCUUCAUCGCUCAAGUCUGUUCACGCCACAGGGAAUCGAGCUACUGAAUUAGAAAACGAUCCACACAUUUCAUUUCGCGAUUGAAGCUGACCUUUAUGAUGAAAUGGAACACUUUUCUGCACGAAGUUCACACGCAUACAUUGAUUUAUGCAGGGAUCAAUCAAGCUGGAUUAACACUAAAUCGGUCUGGAAUGAAGAAAAUAUUGUAGAACAUGUCACUCUGAGUUUCGUAGAAAAAUGUUUCCAUAAAGAUGAAGAUGAGCAGUGCAGUAAUUAAGUUCCAAGUUCAUGUGCCAUUUGAUACAAGAGAUCAUCUAGCAAUGAAAUUAUCAUUCUUACUGCUAUGAUCGUCAAGAACUAACAUACAGAGUUGAGAAUUUUCACGAGGAUCCAUAAACUAUUAGCAAUAAAUUUUCAAAAAGAGAAGAUUGAAGCCACAGUAUACAUUUACCUCAGAUUACAUGAUGGAAAUUAGCAAAGUCGGUGAGUUUAUGAGUGACUUUGAGUGAAAUUAUGGCGGAAGGUUAAGAAACAACGACAAAUCCGAGGCAGGCCUGGACUAGAUCCGGGAUAGACGACUCUAUUAGCGCAUAAUGCACGGUUUCGACCCCGACUAUAAUUUUCCAGCAGUCAGAGCGUCCAAGAAAUGCUAGGCCGGACCAACUCUCCCUGCGGUAGGGUAUACUUGAUGAUCCCGGCCGGUGCAGGAAUCGUGAAUUCAAUUCGCGGACUGUUACUGUUACCGUAAACCCGUCGGCAUCACGAUCUAAACCAAUCCAUAAUUUACGUGGAAUGUGAGCACGCCGGAUCGCGCGCAAUUGUGAGCGUCGUUUGAUCCAAAAUGACCGGAGCACCAGCUGUGCGCUCGCGCACUAUAAUCCACAGAUCGCUGCCAGUUAUGAGAGCUCUGUCGUAUUUAGAGGUGUAACGGCGUUCACGUAUUUCGAACAUAUGGCGGACUUUAACCGACCGGUUCUAAAUUAUUCGAAUUGCGCGACGUCAUCGUUGCACUCUCUUUUCGACAAUUCUGUAGAUUCGAUCAUCUCCGCGGGACUUGACAUAUCUUCCCUGCGACCGACACCAUAAUGGUUUUGAAGAUUGAAGCCUUCUCCUUCAAACUAGAUCUCAAAAUGCAAUGUACGACUUUUUGGCGCUAUUUUAUGGCACUUCGAGUAAAAAAUGUGCC